rnacentral:rRNA from 1 species
GCAAGAUUAAAACUCAAAGGAAUAGACGGGGACCCGCACAAGCGGUGGAGCAUGUGGUUUAAUUCGACGAUACGCGAAGAACCUUACCUGGCCUUGACAUAGAAAGAACUUACUAGAGAUAGUUUGGUGCUAGCUUGCUAGAACUUUCAUACAGGUGCUGCACGGCUGUCGUCAGCUCGUGUCGUGAGAUGUUGGGUUAAGUCCCGCAACGAGCGCAACCCUCGUGUUUAGUUACUAACAGUUCGGCUGAGGACUCUAGACAGACUGCCUGGGUAACCAGGAGGAAGGUGAGGACGACGUCAAGUCAUCAUGGCCCUUACGGCCAGGGCUACACACGUGCUACAAUGGGGUAUACAAAGAGCCGCAAUACCGUGAGGUGGAGCAAAUCUCAUAAAAUAUCUCCCAGUUCGGAUAGUAGUCUGCAACUCGACUACUUGAAGUUGGAAUCGCUAGUAAUCGUGAAUCAGCAAUGUCACGGUGAAUACGUUCCCGGGUCUUGUACUCACCGCCCGUCACACCAUGGGAAUUGAAUUCAUUCGAAGCGGGGAUGCUAAAAUAGCUACCUUCCACAGUGGAUUUAGUAACUAGGGUGAAGUCGUAACAAGGUA